UUCGAAAGUCACCAAAUUUCACGAUGUCACAAAUGUCUUGAUACUUCGGCUUUCAUCCCGUUUCCUGUUAAAUCAUUUAUCUUGCACGUAGAUUAAAUGAUCCUACAACAAACUGCUGAGUAACAAAUAUGUCAAUUCCUUUAUUUUACGAUGAUUUAACUUAAAACAAGAUUUCAACGUCCGUGUAUCCCAUACAGAGUUAUUCCGCUUUUACGGCUAACUUUUGUCAAACUUCAUGAGCCUCAACUUACAGAUCAGCUCACGCGGAAAACCCAUUCUACUCGAUCCUCGGAGGAUGGCCAAAACGAAUACUAAGACUAAGACUCGAAGUUUCUUCGAGUCAGCCAUCUUCCGUCAAGGAAUUUCGCUAUCUGACUCUGACUAUCUGACAGGAUUUAUGCGAAGUCACUCGAAGGAAAUCCUCGAAGUGACUCGGGAUGAAAUCCAAUUAGCGGAAUACACACCUGAAUCGGUUUCUUUAGUUCCCGAGUCACUUGACGGAAUUCCUUCGAGUGACUCCGAGACGAAUUAAUAGUUACCUGUAAAAAUUUAACUGUGUCUCCUAGUAACUUCGAGGACAGAUUUAACAUUUGUUGGAGUAGGAUAAUUAUAUCUUACGUAGUGAUACGCUAGAAAAAACACAGUAUUUGUGAAUAAUAUUUAUGGUACCUUUUUUAUUAAAAUUAAAACAAUUUAUUAUCUACCCGAUUUUUCUGUUCACUUAUUAUUAUUUCAUAACUUUAUGAGUAGUUGAGGCAGUUAUUUCUCUCUUUUUUGUAGUUCCUUCUAGAUAAAUUAUCAAAUGAACAGCAACAAAAACUAUCAGCAAUAUUAUUACAUAUUUGGUAUGUUAAUACAAUAAAGUUACUGAAAUUCUUCUAUGAAAAUACAGGUCAUUUUGACCCAUUAACGUUCGCCAGAAAUUUAGUGUACACAAACAAAUAAAGUGGCAUUCGUUCUAAUUAGUAAACGAUCGCCGUUCGAUCAAACAGUAAAAUAUGUUACGCUAAAUGGCGUUUCAAAUAAAUCAAUUAAGAUAAUUUAACUACUUAACAUCUCAGGAAUGGCAUAAUUAAUUAUAUUCUAUUAAGCCCCUACUAAUCUCAUGGUUAAACAUUGAGCAGAGACUGCCAACAAAUUUGUAAAUCCCUCUGCUCUACACUUAGGGCUAUACUCAUAGACAAUAUUCCAACACCACUCAUUGAGUACACUCAAAUAAAUUGCCUAACGGUCACGUCUUUACUCAGGAAAGAUUCAAUUUGUAUUUAUAAUGGUGAGUGACAGUCGAGUCAACUCCCAAGAGUGAGUGACUGUUGAGGGAGGUCCUGGGGACCCUUGAGUGUUUCUCAAGGUCUCAUAAUGUAAGUUUAGAUGAUAAUUUUACAGUAUUUAAUUAAUUUGAAGGUAAGAUAAUGGUGUCAUGUUAAAGCGGAAGGUCAUAUUUGUGCAAGGUAUUUUGGAAAAAUUUAUUAUGUUCUUUUUUAAUAUAAGUUGUUGAGAACGAGGAAAACGCAAACUGACUCAACAAAUUAAAAGACCAUUUAAUUAAUAAAAACAGUUUAAAUAGAUCUAGGAAAUCAAAUAUACAUCUACGAAACCUAGCCUAACGGGGUUUAUCAGUCACUCCCAGAAACACACGUCGUAGUAACAAAUAUUUACAUUUCACAAGCCUAGAUAUCGGUUAAUCUAUCCUGAAAAAUAUAAAUAAUCCGUCAAAUGAAAUGUCAUGAAGAACCUAUCAUUAUUAAAUCUCAUUGUUUAAAUGACAACAGAAACAUUUAUUUUAUAAAAAGAUAAGAGCCGCGCCAUGAGAAAACCAACAUAGUGCGUUUGCAGUCUGGUCAAGAUCCAUGCUGUUCGCUUUCAAAGCCUAUUGCAAUUAGAGAAACUAUUAGCGGAGAGUAUGGAUCAUGACCAGACUGCGCCGAUACGCAGGUUGGUCUGGAUCCAUGCUGGUCGCAAACGCACUAUGUUGGUUUUCUCAUGGUGCGGCUCAAUUAUGUGUUUAGUAAUUGAAAUUAAAAAAAAUACGCGGGCUGGCAUUCAGAAAACACCAACAAUUAAUGGCAGAGUUAAACAUUCAGUUGUUUAAAUUAAUUUCAAUUUCAGCGAAAAUUAAACUCUAUAUUUCUAAGUAUAAAUUAAAUUCUACUAAUGCAGAUGAGUAGACUGGCUGACGGACGAACGGACGGAAGGACGUAUUAUAAAACAAAUAGACGAACGGACGGACGGAUAAACAUACAGACGACAAUAAGAUGACAACUUCCAACUACAAAAAUAAUGAUCAGCACUUUUGCAUAUCUUUGAUGUCAUUGUCAUAUAAACCGUUAUAAUCCUCUAAAUCCAUUGUGUACAAUAAAACCAUUACUCGAGCUGUCCUUCCGAAAGUUAAGAUUGAGUGGAAUUUAUGAAUAUGACUUUCGAACUCCACUCACACUCCCGCAAGGUCUACUCGAGGUCCACUUGAGUGAUACUUACCCAAGUUUGAGUCAAGUGUGAGUUUGAGUAACGACUACGAAUAUAGCCCUUAGUCGGCACUUAUUUCAUUUUAACAGUUUGUAAACAUGUGGAAAUAAUUGCUGUUCUUUAUUAGGGCAAAAGCCUCUAUAAAGCGCUGUUUAGGUGGCAUCAAUUCACAUUUGCCUUGAAAGUGUACUAAAGUCUUCAUAGUGACAGUUGUAAUAAGUUUCUUAAUACAGAGAUUUUUUUUCACAAAGUUUAUCAUGUCUUUGCGUCAACGCUCUAAGAAGGAUAAUUCUUUUCUUGUGAGAUACUUCGAAGACGGCGAAUAUCAGGUCCGUUCACGUGGACAUUUCAAAACAUCUGACAAGGUAAUUAUCUGUUUUAUAUUUCAUUUUAUUUUAAUAUCAAUUUAUUUUUUUAACUGACGUCACUUAUUAAAGGACAAUGAAAUGAACCGUUUUUAAUGACUGAUUAAAAGACAACAACCUUAAAUAACUGUUUAUUAAAAUUACUUAAACUACUAUCUAUGUAGAGUUAUAAUAUAAACUAUUAGAAUUUCAGUUUUAAUUCGAUGACUAUUUGUUAACAACACGUCGAAACAAUUAAAGUUAAUGAUAACAUUUAGAAGCAGAAACCAUUAGAAGCAACUUGAAAAUGGAAGCGUGUAUUUAUGUAUAUUAAGUAAAUUAAACUUGAAGUGUACACUAGGACUCGUCGUAGAUUACCGGGUAAUGUUUGAAGUUCGAACUAAAAAAAUCUGUUUCGCUAAGAACACAAAAUUAAUCAUUUGAACUAUCUAGAUUUGUGUAACAGUUACGUUCAUUAUCUGUUAAAACAAUAAAGUUUUUUUUUCUAAAUCUGGCACAAAUCAGAUGCUCUUGCAAACUAAGUUUGGAUAUUUUAUGCUUAAACACAUUUGUAUAAACUGUUAUAUUAUAAUCAUAUACCGACCCAUCAGGCGCACCUUAUGUAAAAAAAAAAGUAUUUAUAAGCAAUUUAUUACAUAUUUUCAUUGCUUCGUUCAGAAAAAAAAAUCUUUUAGCUAUAUUGCUGUUAUCAAUGGCCAUAAAUCUACCUUUUUAUGAUAACGUAUUUUAAUCCUUGUGUACCGCAGUUACAGGGGUUGUAUAGUACGUCAUCAACAGGUGCGCGCAACACUUCCCGAUGCGGCUUUUUGUGUCAAAACAUCUCGAUUCGGUACAUGAAAGAUGAAAAAGGAAACAAAACUUCUAGUCUGCAUCAAUGGUAUUGUCAAUAUAUGUUAAAAAGGAUUGCUGAGUGAUUGGCAUGCAAGACAUAAUUGACGUAUUAUAUUUUCCAAAAGCUGUACGACAUAAUAUUUGAGAAGUGGAGAACACCCUCUAACGGAAUUACCCCAGACAAGGAUUUCAACACUCGGUUGCUGUUUGAAGGGGCCACGUGUUCAUCACAAUUGCUCGGGAAAAAUGAGAAAUGACUGUAUCGCGCCAACGAAAUGUUCUUAUUAAUGGGUUUUAGAUGUGCGCAGGGAAAGAACAAGAGUGACUGCAACCGAAUUAUAAUUACCACUUAGUACAAUGGGACAUCGAUUGAAUCUACACUAGAAAGCGGUUCAGGAUUUAAAAUUUGACUUAUGUUCAGAUUUUGCUUGCAAAUGUUAGUGCACCCAAUUACAUAUUAAAACUCGAAGUGAGCUUGAACAGUGGUAGGACAGUUUUACUUGCAAUGUAAAUUAUUUUAUUUUUCUUAAACUGUUUAGUUGUUGAAAAUGUUGUUGUAUAAACGAUUAUUUAAAGUAGGAAAUUUUACUGUUUUUUUUAUUUAAACCCUUACACAGUGGAAGCCAUUGUGACAUAAACAUACGCACAUACACUUUCAAGACAUAGCAACAUUUUCCUUGUUAUCAGCUAAUGUAAUAUAUAUACACACAAAUCAACGAAAGUAGAUUUAUUACUUGAUUUUAGCAAUUCUAAAUUUUUUACACACAUAUACGAGUAUAAUGAUGAUUCAUUAACUUUGGACGUAAUUCUUUAUAACUCAACAUUUAAAAAAAAUGAAAUUCACCUUAAGUUUCAUUAAGAUCGCAUUUCUGACAAAUUCGUUCCACAUUGUAUGCCUUAAUUUUCUUCGAUCAAGAAGUAGUGUAUAUCUCUAUGUCACAUAUUCUCAACAAUUG